UACGAAGGGGGCUAGCGUUGCUCGGAAUUACUGGGCGUAAAGCGCACGUAGGCGGACUCUUAAGUCGGUGGUGAAAUCCUGGAGCUCAACUCCAGAACUGCCUUCGAUACUGGGAGUCUUGAGUCCGGGAGAGGUGAGUGGAACUGCGAGUGUAGAGGUGAAAUUCGUAGAUAUUCGCAAGAACACCAGUGGCGAAGGCGGCUCACUGGCCCGGUACUGACGCUGAGGUGCGAAAGCGUGGGGUGCAAACAGG
rnacentral:rRNA from 1 species